AACUGCAGUAAAAAGAAAAAAAAGGAAUCCCCCAUUUAAAAGUACCGGUCCAGAUUGUCCAGGAUAAAUUUAUUACACGGUUUCAAAAGGCCUUUAUCAUUAUAGUAAGAUUGACUGGGAGAUAUCUGAUGACAAACAAGAUGCUACCCUCAACACAGCAAGCGUUUCCAGUGAAUCAAACAUCCAGCUUUAUAAAGACUGGUCUUAACAACUUUACCUAUAGAAACUGUUUUUAGAAACGAAGAUCCAUCACCAACCUAUGACGUAUUAUCUCUUGAAAGAUGGUCACAUUUCGAAGUAUAUGGCUCUAUUUACUGGGACGUUGUUUCUUAUAUGUGUUGUGGGUAUCAUUGGUAACAUCUUGGUGUCCAUUAUGAUUGUAAACUGAAUAGCUUAUCUUAUUCCGUAUA